CCCAAUGCCAGAGGAAGAUGAACAUAACAAUGAUUCAGACAGAUGCCCAUACUCCACUUAAAUAUGUGCAUGGACAAUAGAAGCUCUGAAUUUAUCACCUCUAACUGGCAUUAGAAGUGACAUUUUAAGGAGAAACGAAGUGUGAGGGGACCAUCAACCUUUUCCAUUUUAUAAAGCUUUACAGAAAC
rnacentral:lncRNA from 1 species